GAUGAACGCUGGCGGCGUGCUUAACACAUGCAAGUCGAACGAAGCACUUUUGAUUCUUCGGAAGAGAAAGUGACUGAGUGGCGGACGGGUGAGUAACGCGUGGGUAACCUGCCUUAUACAGGGGGAUAACAGUUAGAAAUGACUGCUAAUACCGCAUAAGCCGAUAGAGUCGCAUGACUUAGUCGGAAAAGAUUUAUCGGUAUAAGAUGGACCCGCGUCUGAUUAGCUAGUUGGUGAGGUAAUGGCCCACCAAGGCGACGAUCAGUAGCCGGCUUGAGAGAGUGAACGGCCACAUUGGGACUGAGACACGGCCCAAACUCCUACGGGAGGCAGCAGUGGGGAAUAUUGCACAAUGGGGGAAACCCUGAUGCAGCAACGCCGCGUGAAGGAAGAAGUAUUUCGGUAUGUAAACUUCUAUCAGCAGGGAAGAAAAUGACGGUACCUGACUAAGAAGCCCCGGCUAACUACGUGCCAGCCGCCGCCGUAA
rnacentral:rRNA from 1 species